rnacentral:rRNA from 1 species
UACGUAGGUGGCAAGCGUUAUCCGGAUUUAUUGGGCGUAAAGCGCGCGUAGGCGGUUUUUUAAGUCUGAUGUGAAAGCCCACGGCUCAACCGUGGAGAGGCAUUGGAAACUGGAAAACUUGAGUGCAGAAGAGGAAAGUGGAAUUCCAUGUGUAGCGGUGAAAUGCGCAGAGAUAUGGAGGAACACCAGUGGCGAAGGCGACUCUCUGGCCUGCAACUGACACUGAUGCGCGAAAGCGUGGGGAUCAAACAGG